CGAUGGGGUAGAGGUCGCGGCUAUUAAGAGUAGGACGGACGAGAAACAAAAGAUUUCGAUGACUCCGCUUGAAAGGAAUAGCUGCCGAAGCCGAUACUUCUCUUUUGGAUAUAUCGGCUGGGGCUGUCUCCGAAUAGGAACAGAACUGUCACGUUUAUUGAUUCCAACUAAACGUGUUGAGCUAUCUUCGGA
rnacentral:ncRNA from 2 species